GACGUAGGGCGCGAGCGUUGUCCGGAUUUAUUGGGCGUAAAGAGCUCGUAGGCGGCUUGUCGCGUCGAAUGUGAAAUCCCGUGGCUCAACUGCGGGUCUGCAUUCGAUACGGGCAGGCUAGAGUUCGGUAGGGGAGAGUGGAAUUCCUGGUGUAGCGGUGAAAUGCGCAGAUAUCAGGAAGAACACCCGUGGCGAAGGCGGCUCUCUGGGACGGUACUGACGCUGAGACGCGAAAGCGUGGGGAGCGAACAGG
rnacentral:rRNA from 1 species